UACGUAGGGUGCGAGCGUUAAUCGGAAUGACUGGGCGUAAAGCGUGCGCAGGCGGUCUGUUAAGACAGAUGUGAAAUCCCCGGGCUUAACCUGGGAACUGCAUUUGUGACUGGCAGGCUAGAGUAUGGCAGAGGGGGGUGGAAUUCCACGUGUAGCAGUGAAAUGCGUAGAGAUGUGGAGGAACACCGAUGGCGAAGGCAGCCCCCUGGGCCAAUACUGACGCUCAGGCACGAAAGCGUGGGGAGCAAACAGG
rnacentral:rRNA from 1 species